rnacentral:rRNA from 1 species
UCCGGACGGGUAUAAACCCGGGAAACUGGGUAUAAUCCCCGAUAGAUCUCGGUCGCUGGAAUGCCCCGAGAUCGAAAGCUCCGGCGCCAGAGGAUGGGUCUGCGGCCUAUCAGGUAGUAGUGGGUGUAGCGUACCUACUAGCCUACGACGGGUACGGGUUGUGAGAGCAAGAGCCCGGAGAUGGAUUCUGAGACACGAAUCCAGGCCCUACGGGGUGCAGCAGGCGCGAAAACUUUACAAUGCCGGCAACGGCGAUAAGGGGACCUCGAGUGCCAGGUCACAAAUCUGGCUGUCGUGAUGCCCAAAAAGCAUUGCAUAGCAAGGGCCGGGCAAGACCGGUGCCAGCCGCCGCGGUAACACCGGCGGCUCGAGUGGUAACCGUUAUUAUUGGGUCUAAAGGGUCUGUAGCCGGCCGGAUAAGUCUCUUGAGAAAUCCAGCAGCUCA